AUGUCAAAGAGCAAACUACCUCUGCUUUCUUCUAGGGAUUUUAUGGUUUCAGAUCUUACAUUUAAGUCUGUAAUCCAUUUUGAAUUUAUUUUUGUAUAUGGUGUAAGAAAGUAGUACAGUUUGAUUCUUUUGCAUGUAGCUAUUUAGUUUGGGGGGGGUUCCCUAUUUUAUAGCUUCACUGCAUCGUACCUUUCCUUUGUAUCAUUUAUCAAAGUUUGUGAAUGUACUUUAAGUUGGAUGAUUAUAUUAUUGGAUCAAUCUCUCCUAUCAGUCUAUGAGCUCCAUGAGGGCAAGGGUGGUAUCUUCUAAGUUUCCCGUCACUGUCAUCAGCUAAUACUGAGUUGGACACCUAAGAGAUGCUCAGUAAAUGCUCCUCAUGAAUGAAUGGGUUGUAAUACUUACUCAUGACUAUUCAUUCCAUUCUAUGCAUGACACAAGCUAGGUACUGUGGUAAUGUAAAGUAAUAAAAUAUGACCCAACCCUCAAGAUUUAGAGAUGAAGACAGACAUAGAGUAACAGACAAGAUGGGAGAAGCACAUGAAUAACAAAAGUAGCCAGAGAAGGAAGAUACUAAUUCCCCAAAAGAGAUGGGGGCAAAGUUAGGAAAUAUCAUCUAAAGCCCCAACUUUCAUCUAUGCUUUCUUCAAUCUCCUAUCAGAUUUUAUAUCCUACUCAAUGCUUUAGCUUUCCAAAAUAAAGAUCUAAUUCUUUAAUCAAUUAAUUCAUAUAUUGGACCAAAGUAUAAAAAGGUGAAAUGGAAAAAAGUUAUCACUUCCCUUUUCAAACCUAAGUCAAUAUGUUCUUUCUUCUCUACCCAAAGCUCCUUGGGAUGCCAUCAGAAGAUCUGAACAUCAGCCCUAAUUCUGCUCCAAACUUGCUGUGUGUGUGUUAGUUCAUGAUGCCAUUUAAAAAACACUGUAGACCAGAUGGUUUAGACAACAGAAAUUUAUUUUCCCAUAGUUCUAGAGUCUGGAAGUCCAAAAUGAGAUUGCCAGCAUAGCCAGGCUCUGGUGAGAGCUUGUUACCUGGCCUGUAGAUGGCCAAUGUCAAGGAAAUUCACUGUUUUUUUUUUUUUCCUUUACUUUCACAUGUACAACACUUCAGACACUAGAUGUGUGAGUUUUUUCCCUGCCCUGACAAAUUCUCCAACAUCAGCUGAGUGUCUUAAAAUUCAACUCAAUUCUGACACCAUUUGGAAUUAGUGCAGACCCCCCAGGAUAAAAACUCAGGCCUAUGAGACUGCCCCUCACCUCAAAUGCCAAUCAUAAGUAGUAGGUCCCCAGGUUAACCACAACUUCUAUUAUGACUUGGCUAUAAAUCAGAAGGUCCCAUAACCCUCACCUCAGGCUUAACGAUUUGUUAGAGUGGCUCAAAGAACCCAAAAAACAGUUCUUACUACUGCCAAUUUACUACAAAUGAUAUUUUAAAGCAUAUAAAUGAACAUUCAGAUGAAGAGAUACACAGGUGAGGUCUGGAAGGGUCUUCCCUAUGAGGUUUGGGUGUCCUACCCUCCCAGCAGGAGGUUGGUUGAUAUAUCCACCAACCUGGAAGCUCUAUGAACCCUGUACUUUUGGGAUUUUAUGGAGGCUUCAACACAUUGGUAUGAUCAAUUAUCAACUCAAUUUCCAGCUCCUCUCCCUCCCUCUGGAGAAUGGGGGAUGGGGCUGAAAUUUCCAAGCUUCUAAUAAUGGCUUGGUCCUUCUGGUGACCAGCCUCUAUCCAGGAGUCCACCAAGAGUAACCUCAUCAGAACAAAAGCUGCUCCUAUCAUGUGGGGAAAUUCCAAAGCAUUUUGGAGAUCUGUGCUGGGAACCAGGGGCAGAAACAAGUCUUUUUCUAUUAUUUCGCAGUUAUUUUUUCAUCAUGUCCUCACAUGGUAGAGAGAGAGAAAGAGUUCUCUGGUGUCUCUUCUUAUAAGGACACUACAUCUUAUUGUAUCAGGGACCUCUCCACCAUGACUUCCUUUAAUCUUAAUUACUUCCUUGUAGUCCUUAUCUCCAAACAUAUUCACAUUGAGGGUUAAGGCUUCAGCACAUGAAUUAGAAGGUGAGGGGCACAAUUCAAUCCAUAUCUAUGUGACCUUGAUCAAACCCAAACUCCUCUGUCUUCAUCUAGAUCAAGGUUCUGCAACUAGGGCCCAGAGGCUUUUUGUUUCUGUGUAACAAGUUUUAUUGGAAUGUAGCCACACCCCAUACAAUUUACAUACUGUCUGUGGCUGCAGUUGCACUUCAAUAGUACAGUUGAAUAAUUGUGACAAAGAGCUAACAGCCUGUAAAGUCUAAAAUAUUUACUAUUUGACCCUAUACAGAAAAAGUCUGCUGACCUCUUUGCAUUCUUACAGCUCUAACAUUCUGGGACUCUACUCAUGCCUUUAGAACAUCUCUUAGUUCAAGUCUUUGGGUUCCACGAAAGGACUAGUGAUCUAAUGAUUGCUUUAAUAAGUAUUAAGUGCUUAUAAUGACAGAAGUGUUUUCAUUAAUCUCACAUUGUAGCUAACCUCUGCACUCUUAUUAAGUAAGCUUAAGCAGACAUGGAACAAAGUCUUUCCAUGAAUUAAAUGUAUUUUAUAUCUCCAUAGCCAAGUACAUUUCCAUUAAAUCAUUGUUUUAGGGGCUUUGUUGAGUGCCUAAUGUAGCAAAAAAAAAAAAACAACAGAGAGUUAGAAGUGUUCCGGCCUCACUGGUUUCCCCUCUUUGCACUUGUAUAGCCCCGUUAUCUGCACCGCACAACUUGGCACAGAGAUAGGUGCAAUUUUGAAUUGCUUGCUAGUUAUGUCAUUUGCAUUACCCUUGUACCCCAAAAUGUAGUUAGUACCUUGGGGUCAGGAAUCAUGCUCUCUGAAUCAAAAAAGCACAGAAUUAAAGAGGUGGAAGAGAUAUUAACAACCAUAAUCCAACCUUCUUGCUACACACAUGAAUGAACUGAGGCCCAGAUCAAACAAAUAACUUGUCUUAACUGUCUUGGUAUGUAUCAAGUGCCUGAUUCAGAAUUUCUGUUUGGCAAGGACUUGAAGAAUGAUUAGAGAAGGAAAUUAUAAAAUGAAAUAAGGAGGAAAAGAAAAUUUCCUGGAUCUUGACUUGAAAAGCUUUUGGUGGUGUAUUCUAGAAAGCAAUCUAAAAUCUACAUUUUCAUGUACCUCUAACACAGCAUUUCAUAACAACUCUGUGGAGUGCUAACCCCAAGAGAUGCUCCAAGAAAAUAUGAUCCAAUAGUUACAAGUUUGGAAAAGGCCUCAUACUGUAUACUUGCUUGGAGAACCAGAUACACAUCAGCAUAGCAAGGCUCUGAGAAGGUACCUGAUCUACGCUGAGAUGCACAAAUAUUGGCAACAACAACCUUUUUUAAUAGAACAUCUAUCAUCUUCUCAGAAACAGAGGGAAAUAUCCAAGAAAGGCAAAAUCAGACAAAUUUGGAGCUUGGUUAAACCAGUGAAUAAUUGCCCACUAUCUAAAGACAGGUGAACUCUUUCAAGUCAGGCCAGUACACUGAAUAGAAUUUCACUCCCACAUGUAAAAAAGAACUGAAACACUGAUGUUCUUCCACAAAGAGAGCAGUUUUUCUUCUUCUCAGAAUGAGCACAAUAAUAUCUUUUCAAUUAAAAAUAGAAUCCACUCUACCGGCACCCUGCUAAACAGCAAAUUGAGUUGAUGAAGGCAAAAAUUAUCGAUAUAACCAUGGGCAUCAAAUGGUAAAAGUAAGAAAUUAGUGGAAUAUUUUUUAAGAGAAGAAAAGACCUAUUUAGGAACUACAUGUAACUUGGUCUUCAGGCUUGGUCACAGUACUAAUGAAGCAAGCUGGUAUUUAAAGCACUCCCAGAGAGUGCCACUGUCCAACAAGAUUGGAUAGCAGGGACUAGAUUUACCUUUGCACUCAAACCAAAAAAUGGACAAGUAAAUGAAAUAAUAGUUUUCAAGACACAGGACAAAGAACGGUGAAAGACAAGAAAAUAAAUGAGGUGAGCCCUAUCAUUGCUCUAGAUUACUACCUUGAAAGAGUUCCAUGACACAACACAGGAAGGAGGAAUCUUGGUAGAGCCCAUUGACAACCUGAGACAAAGAGAUAGAGCUGGGAGUGUGGGAAGACCAAGACAGCUAGAAUUCACAAGACAGAGUAUUAGAGAGGAGAGAGAGGCACCGAGACAUAACUUCAGCUAUCUGAAGAGGGUCUUCCCAAGUGUUCAGCUAAGUACUGAUGAGUACAUGUGUGUGAAGAAACUCUCUGGGAGGCCAGAAAAAGACCAUCUGAAAAGAUUAAAUAUAAUGAGCCCAGCUGUUCCCACCAGAUUGGAAAACCUCAUGAUUCAUAGGGUAUUGAGUAGAGUACACAGAAGUAACUUGUAUCAACAAUGGAAAAUAAUCAGCCCUAGACUAAAUGCUGCUCUACCCCUUGAAAUUAACCUUAAAAGGAAGACCAAAAAGAUAAAAUCUUUUCAAGUAACUUAACUGUGCCUGUAAACAAAGCUCAAGAAUAUUAUUAGGAAUACAAAAAUAUCCAGCAUUUAACAAUGUAAAAUUCACAAUGUCUUCUAUCCAAACAGAAAAUUACCAGACAUACAAAGGACCAGAAAAAUACAACCAAAAGUGAGGAGGAAAAGUAAAUCAGAAUUGACACAGAUGUUAGAAUCAGCAGCUAAGACAUUAAAACAGUUAUUAUAACUGUAUUUCAUAUGUUUAAAAAUUUUAAAUAGACACACCUAACAAAUUCUAAAUAAGCUCCUUUCCUGUGAAGCAAGACAAUUAAAUUCUAUGGGAUACUUGCUGGACUCACAACUUAAUCUAUUUCUCUCUGGCAGAGAACUGGAGUGAUGCCCAUAUGGUCUAACAUCCUAUUGCACCUUUCUCUCCCACAAGACUCCUUUAAUAUCCUAUAGUUUCUCUGGGCAAGAGAAUGUCAAUUCAUCAACCAGGAAACCACCUCACACCACAGGACUAUAAAGACCAUCUGAGACCAGGGAUAAUACUGCCAUCUGUGUCUGAGCCAGACUCACCAGUCCUGGCAACCCACACCUAUUUUAUGCACAAAAAGCCAUAUGGCAGAGAAAGUAGAGAAAGCCUGUAAAUUAUCAGCUUUGAGACUAAAGAGAUGAAUUAUGACAAAGCUGUUGACAUUUCACCUAAAACCACCACGUUGAGUGAAAAAGAAGUUACUAACUAGCAGUACAUAUACCUUUUUGCAGUUCAAUGCUUCCCCUCCUUUCUCCCAAAGCAUCUAAGAUGAAACUUUCUUCAUUUAUGCCUUUUGCAGGUUUGACUACUUAGCACUUUUUAAGAAAACAAUUUGCAAAAACAAUUGAAGUCAUUUUUCCAAGUUCAAAUCUCUACAAAAUUAACUGGUUUCUUAAUUAAGAAAGCAAUUGCUCGCAAUUUUCAAUUUACCGAUGUGUUUCAAAACUCCAAAAGUUUUUACUUGGUCAGCCUUAGUUUGGAAUUAAGAACUUAUUGCCGAUGAAAACAUUGCUCUUAUUUAUCGAAUCAUUCGGCAAACUUUUAGGUUGCCUAUAAUACUGAAUCCAUUGGGGAUUCAGAGGGUGCAGGACAUUGUUCCUGUACACAAAGAAUUUCUAUUUUAGUAGGGAAGAUACAUAUAUGAAAAAAAUAAUAAUAAAUAUAUGUAACAUAUUUCUAUACAUUAAGUACUAAUAAUAUCAUUUAGAUCUCUGUUCCUUAAAAUUUGGUCCAUGAGCUAGUGAGCACCCCAAUUCCCUAGGACUUGUUUAAAAUGUAGAUCCUUUAGUCUUUCUCUAACUCUCCUGAAACCAGUGACUUGUAUGAACACGAAAGUUUCAGGACAAUAGUAUAAGUGAUACAUGCA
rnacentral:lncRNA from 1 species